UACAGAGGGUGCAAGCGUUGUCCGGAAUCACUGGGCGUAAAGGGCGCGUAGGCGGCCUGAUAAGUCGGGGGUGAAAUUCUGCGGCUUAACCGCAGGACGGCCUUCGAGACUGUCGGGCUUGAGCACGGUAGAGGCUGGUGGAAUUCCCGGUGUAGCGGUGGAAUGCGUAGAGAUCGGGAAGAACAUCGGUGGCGAAGGCGGCCAGCUGGGCCGUUGCUGACGCUGAGGCGCGACAGCGUGGGGAGCAAACAGGAUUAGAUACCCUGGUAGUCCACGCCGUAAACGAUGGGUACUAGGCGUCGGGGGGAGCGACCCCUUCGGUGCCGUCGCUAACGCAGUAAGUACCCCGCCUGGGGAGUACGGCCGCAAGGCUGAA
rnacentral:rRNA from 1 species